CCUACGGGGGGCAGCAGUGGAGAAUCUUGCACAAUGGGCGCAAGCCUGAUGCAGCCACGCCGCGUGAGGGAAGAAGGCUUUCGAGUUGUAAACCUCUUUCAGCAGGGAAGAAGCGAGAGUGACGGUACCUGCAGAAGAAGCCCCGGCUAACUACGUGCCAGCAGCCGCGGUAAUACGUAGGGGGCGAGCGUUAUCCGGAUUCAUUGGGCGUAAAGCGCGCGUAGGCGGUCCGGUAAGUCGGAUGUGAAAUCCCAGGGCUCAACCCUGGAACUGCACCCGAUACUGCCGGACUUGAGGUAGGUAGAGGAAGGUGGAAUUUCCGGUGUAGCGGUGGAAUGCGCAGAUAUCGGAAGGAACACCGAUGGCGAAGGCAGCCUUCUGGGCCUGACCUGACGCUGAGGCGCGAAAGCAUGGGUAGCGAACAGGAUUAGAUACCCCUG
rnacentral:rRNA from 1 species